rnacentral:rRNA from 1 species
UUUACUCUUUCGCUUUGGUAGGAGAGCGUUCUAAGUGCUGCGAAGUCAGACCGUGAGGACUGGUGGAGCGCUUAGAAGUGAGAAUGCCGGUAUGAGUAGCGAAAUAGAAGUGAGAAUCUUCUACACCGAAUGCCUAAGGUUUCCUGAGGAAGGCUCGUCCGCUCAGGGUUAGUCGGGACCUAAGCCGAGGCCGAAAGGCGUAGGCGAUGGACAACAGGUUGAUAUUCCUGUACCACCUCAUAAUCGUUUGAACGAUGGGGGGACGCAGUAGGAUAAGGAAUGCGCGCCGCUGGAUGUGCGCGCCCAAGCAGUGAGUGAGUCAGAUAGGCAAAUCCGUCUGGCAAUCACAAGCUGUGAUGGGGAGGGAACUAUAGUACCGAAGUUCCUGAUUUCACACUGCCAAGAAAAGCCUCUAGUGAGAUUAUAGGUGCCCGUACCGCAAACCGACACAGGUAGGCGAGGAGAGAAUCCUAAGGUGAUCGGGAGAACUCUCGUUAAGGAACUCGGCAAAAUGACCCCGUAACUUCGGGAGAAGGGGUGCUUCUUGCAUGAGAAGCCGCAGUGAAAAGGCCCAAGCGACUGUUUAGCAAAAACACAGGUCUCUGCGAAGCCGUAAGGCGAAGUAUAGGGGCUGACACCUGCCCGGUGCUGGAAGGUUAAGGGGAUGCGUUAGUCUUUGACGAAGCGUUGAACCGAAGCCCCAGUAAACGGCGGCCGUAACUAUAACGGUCCUAAGGUAGCGAAAUUCCUUGUCGGGUAAGUUCCGACCCGCACGAAAGGUGCAACGACUUGGGCACUGUCUCAACGAGAGACCCGGUGAAAUUAUACUAUGCGUGAAGAUGCGCAUUACCCGCGACAGGACGGAAAGACCCCGUGGAGCUUUACUGUAGCCUGAUAUUGAAUGUUGGUACAGCUUGUACAGGAUAGGUGGGAGCCUAAGAAGCGUGAGCGCUAGCUUACGUGGAGGCGUCGGUGGGAUACCACCCUGGCUGUACGGACCUUCUAACCCACGACCGUGAUCCGGU